rnacentral:rRNA from 1 species
CCUACGGGAGGCAGCAGUGGGGAAUUUUGGACAAUGGGCGCAAGCCUGAUCCAGCCAUGCCGCGUGCGGGAAGAAGGCCUUCGGGUUGUAAACCGCUUUUGUCAGGGAAGAAAUCCUUUGGGCUAAUACCUCGGAGGGAUGACGGUACCUGAAGAAUAAGCACCGGCUAACUACGUGCCAGCAGCCGCGGUAAUACGUAGGGUGCGAGCGUUAAUCGGAAUUACUGGGCGUAAAGCGUGCGCAGGCGGUUAUGCAAGACAGAUGUGAAAUCCCCGGGCUUAACCUGGGAACUGCAUUUGUGACUGCAUAGCUCGAGUACGGCAGAGGGGGAUGGAAUUCCGCGUGUAGCAGUGAAAUGCGUAGAUAUGCGGAGGAACACCGAUGGCGAAGGCAAUCCCCUGGGCCUGUACUGACGCUCAUGCACGAAAGCGUGGGGAGCAAACAGGAUUAGAUACCCUGGUAGUCCACGCCCUAAACGAUGUCAACUGGUUGUUGGACGGCUUGCUGUUCAGUAACGAAGCUAACGCGUGAAGUUGACCGCCUGGGGNGGACGCGCGAGUAGAACGACGAAGUAGAGUUAGACGGCGUGAGACGNGCGAGGACGACGACGAGGGAGGAGG